UGGCUCAGAUGGUAAAGAAUCUGCCUGCAAUGCAGGAGACCCAGGUUCGAUUCCUGG
rnacentral:tRNA from 1 species